GACGAACGCUGGCGGCGUGCUUAACACAUGCAAGUCGAACGGAAAGGCCCUGCUUUUGUGGGGUGCUCGAGUGGCGAACGGGUGAGUAACACGUGAGUAACCUGCCCUUGACUUUGGGAUAACUUCAGGAAACUGGGGCUAAUACCGGAUAGGAGCUCCUGCUGCAUGGUGGGGGUUGGAAAGAUUCGGCGGUUGGGGAUGGACUGGCGGCUUAUCAGCUUGUUGGUGGGGUAGUGGCUUACCAAGGCUUUGACGGGUAGCCGGCCUGAGAGGGUGACCGGCCACAUUGGGACUGAGAUACGGCCCAGACUCCUACGGGAGGCAGCAGUGGGGAAUAUUGCACAAUGGGCGGAAGCCUGAUGCAGCAACGCCGCGUGCGGGAUGACGGCCUUCGGGUUGUAAACCGCUUUCGCCUGUGACGAAGCGUGAGUGACGGUAAUGGGUAAAGAAGCACCGGCUAACUACGUG
rnacentral:rRNA from 1 species